rnacentral:lncRNA from 1 species
GAAAAAUAAAUAUUAAAAAUUCUCUCUCUCUCUCUCUCUCCCUCUCUCUUAAAAAAAAAAAAAAAGAAAAGAAAACCAGUGUCCUCAGGGACUGAGGCUGAAAGCCAACUGGAGUCAUAUUGAAUAGCAGCAAGUGGAGGCUGUAGAUCUGCUGAGGCUUAGCCUCCACACAGUCUCUCACAGAGGACUGCAGUUCUUUAGGAAUUAGAGGUAUCCCCAGUACCCAUAAGGUAAGUCAGGGACAUGGAGGAGUAUUCCCUCAUCCCCACAGGACAGAGAAGCCCCUCAGCAAAUCAGAACCUGGAGCCCAGGCCUCCUGAAUCCUGCUCUAUCUGUGGAAAUACUUCUGGAGUGAAAAGUGGGCCAUACGGGGAACUCAGCAAGACUCACCUGAUGCGGUGCUUCUCAACAGUCUUUUAGAGUAAAAUAUUAUCCAAGGCAUGAUGAAAGGUUUUGAGAGAUGUCUGUGAAGAAGCCAGAGUCAGUCGACUCAAAUGAAAUUGAAACAUGGGUGUUCCUUCAUGAGUUGAGCCAGAUUCAUCCCAGAAUCCUCCCCGCUAAUUUGUACUAAAUGAACCAGUUCUAUUUGGAGAGGUCGUAUGCUUGGUUGAAAACCCUCAUCUCUCAAGUUCACUUACAGAUGUUCACCAUGCUAGAUAAUAAAUAUUGGUAGAACUCUCUGGGAAGAGUAUCUGUCUCUGAACAAAAAGGCAAAGGCCCAAGAAGAAACCACACGUUGGCCUCACCCUCUUCUUCCUGCCUGGAGAAGGGAGGCCUGGGAUUGAAGUAAUUGUCUCACCAUGCUGAAAAGGAAUGCCUCAUGUUUGAGCAGGGUUCUCUGUAACUUUCCUGACAAUGUCCCUGGAUCAUCUGCCUCCUAACUUUCGUUAUAUGACAAAAAAAAAAAAAAGCCUCAUUUGAGUCUCUGUAACAGGGAGCCAAACGCAAUCUUAAUUCCCAUUUUAGAUUACCAAAGCAGGUGACUCUCUGUGGCGGCAGACUAGGCCAACCUAUAUCCAGUUCCCAUUCUGGGUUUGUACCUAAACUCACUUGCUCUGAGGUUGGAAACUGGCCUGACUUCAAAUUGGCCCACCCAUUUAUCAGGGAAAAAACAGCAUCUGAAUUCUCCCAGAAGAACUCUCAGUGGACUUGGGUGCUCAUCUCAGACCGUCUGAGCUCUUUCUUGAUUAUUCAUCUGUAUCACUCUAGGGGAAUAUGAAGAAUAAAAUCCCAUCAAUUGUUUUUACUUGUUCCAAGAGAGAAUAUGGUUCUCAUAAAAAUGCUUCUUGGCUGCAAAUGCCUGGAGAAUUAAAAACUUGAUCCUCCCAAACCCAGGGAUAAGGUCUUCUCUCUUUAGGUAUCAAACCAUUGAGGGUCCAAGGGUGCUCCCCACUGAAAGCCCUGGUAGGUAGCUUGUGAUUCUUGAGCCUUCAGAAUCUGCAAGAUCUUAAAACUUUGUGAAGAGAAAACAAUGAAUAUGUCAUAUAUCAUUGAGGUGUCUCUCAAUUCAUCCAACAUCUUUUUGUUUGUUUUUGCAGUGCCUUGUACACAAGAACCCACAAUCUGGCACACUAGGACAAGUGCUCUAUCUUUGAGCUACAUCCCAGCCCCAUCGACAUUUUUUUUUUUUAGUGCCCUACCAUGUGAACUUUCACAAAAUGAAAAAAUGUCUUUAAAAGAUGUCUGCAAAGAGAUCUGAAUUGGAGGUAAUAUCAAUAAUGCAAGCAUAAAAUAUCAAUACCAGGAAUGGCCCUCUUCCUCAAAGGUAAAAAAGCAAUGACAAUCUAAUGGAAUCUGAAAGGAAGUUGACAAAAAAGUCCACAUUUUCAAAAUAAUUACCUGAAAUAUGGUUGACAGUAUUGUUACAAAGGUUAUUUUCCUAAGAGUUUUUGCUUUGAGACAUUAGCCAAUGAUAGGAGAAAGCUUCCUAAUUGGUAAGAUAUUUAAAAAUUAAGCAUGAUGCUUAAAGUCAUUCUAAUGUUUAAUCCAGUAUUUAACAAUAUUUCAUUAAAAAUAAUGAUAAGCACAUACAAGAAUCUUCUGGUAUUUCUUAGUAAUUGCAAAACACAAAAAAACCACAUGGCCUUAGGGAACCAUUUGCUUUUUCUACCAUGAAAAAUAGCUGAAAUAAUACAUGAAACAAUGUGGCAAUAAAAAGGGCAAUCUUUUGUCGGCAAGCAUUAUUGAAAGAUGCAUAGAAAACAUUGCUGGGAAAUUCAAGAAAUGAAUAUUAGGACAGAGUAUGCCUUAUAGGAAACACGCUAUAGAUUUGAUUAAAAGUAUAGAAAUUUCUAACAUCUCAGUUAAUGGAAUUUGCUACAUUUUAUUGAAAUAUAUGAGAAAGAGUUAUUUUUGAGCCAUUAAAGGAAAGGUGUGUGGGAGAAAAAUAAAUGACUUCUUUAAAAAUAAUGUUUUAUGGGAAAUUUAUUGACUGGAAUAAAAAGAGGGGCCUCAUAUGGUUUCCAAGAUAGGACCACACUUGAUAUUUAUUCACAGCCAAGAUGUUAAAGCUAGGCAUGCAAAAAACAUUGUGAUGUCAUUUAUU